GACGAACGCUGGCGGCGUGCUUAACACAUGCAAGUCGAGCGGUAAGGCCUUUCGGGGUACACGAGCGGCGAACGGGUGAGUAACACGUGGGUGAUCUGCCCUGCACUUCGGGAUAAGCCUGGGAAACUGGGUCUAAUACCGGAUAUGACCUCCUAUCGCAUGGUGGGUGGUGGAAAGAUUUAUCGGUGCAGGAUGGGCCCGCGGCCUAUCAGCUUGUUGGUGGGGUAAUGGCCUACCAAGGCGACGACGGGUAGCCGACCUGAGAGGGUGACCGGCCACACUGGGACUGAGACACGGCCCAGACUCCUACGGGAGGCAGCAGUGGGGAAUAUUGCAAAAUGGGCGAAAGCCUGAUGCAGCGACGCCGCGUGAGGGAUGACGGCCUUCGGGUUGUAAACCUCUUUCAGCAGGGACGAAGCGCAAGUGACGGUACCUGCAGAAGAAGCACCGGCUAACUACGUG
rnacentral:rRNA from 1 species